rnacentral:piRNA from 1 species
UGGCAAUCUUAGUUAGAGGUAUUUCCUUAA